GCCUCGAUAGCUCAGCCUGGCUAGAGCAGCUCCCUUGUAAGGAGCAGGUCGAGGGUUCAAAUCCCUCUCGGGGCU
rnacentral:tRNA from 1 species